CCCCUCCGCAGCGCUGGUUGCCACGGCGACAGCACCGCGCGGCGGCGCGCAGGACUGGUGGCUCUGGGGAGCGGGGCGCCCUCGUGCACCCCCAGACCCGGAGUCCCGUCUCCACCCUCCUCACCCACCGCCCAGAAUCCCAGGGUUCCUCCCAGUGCCCCCCGCGCCCUGAAACUCCGCUGCCGUCCCCUAGAGCGACCCCACUCAGCCAGACAGGGGCCCACCGGCCCAGGAGCUGGCAGGGACGUAGGCGCCGGGCUGGCCUGGCCGGCGGGGCCUCCGCGCCACCCUCUGUCCGCUUUGGGGAGAAAUCCAGUCUUCCCGGGUUUCUUCUCGGGGCAGAGGAAAGGAAUGAUGAGCGGCCCCCACCUUCUUCUCCAGCCCGUCCAGGAGGCAAGCGACGGUUUGGGGACUUGGGCUUCAUUUUGUCACUGAGGUGACACUGAGCCCCUCCACCCACAUCCUGUCCAUCCCGUGUGAGCCACAGAAGAACCCGAGGGCACCUUCUGCCUGCCUGCCCUCCUUCCCAGAACUGCGGUCACUUCCCUCUGACAUAGGAGGAGACUGAGGGUCAGAGAGCCCCUAGGUAUCCCACCAAAGCCACGACCAAGGCAUGGGGUUUACAAGCACCUAAAACACUGAGGCAGAAGAGCCUUCCUUUCCAGCCCCAGGAGAUGUGGUCCCGUGUUGCUGGAGAGAUGGUGGGCAGGGAGAAGCAGUAGAAAGCAAUCCAUGGACUGGGCGUGGUGUCUCACACCUGUAAUUCCAGCACUUUGGGAGGCCGAGGCGGGCGGAUUACCUGAGGUCAGGAGUUCGAGACCAGCCUGGCCAACAUGGUGAAACCCCCAUCUCUACUAAAAAUGUAAAAAUUAGCCGGGCGUGGUGGCACACACCUGUAAUCCCAGCUACUCGGGAGGCUGAAGCAGAAUUGCUUGAGUCUGGGAGACCGAGGUUGGAGACCGAGGUUGCAGUGAGCCAAGAUCGCACCACUGCACUCCAGCCUGGGCAACAGAGUGAGACUCCAUCUCAAAAAAUAUAUAAUAAUAAAAUAAAGCAACCCCAUGAAGUAGUGCAAGCCGUGCAUGAUGUACAAGUCUAAACCCUCGGCUGAGAACUGAACAAAAGGACAGCCCACUGCCCACGUCCCACACUGGCCACUGAGCAGUGCACACGAAGGACAGAUCUGAGUCCCACUGCAAAGGCUUUGAAAACAAAACCGACAUGGAAGGCAGGACCCACAGGAGCCUAUCUGAACUUGUGGCCUGAAACCAACUAGGCUGAUUGCAUGACAAAACAAAAUACCAACAUUCUCAAUGGGAUUUAAAUAAGACCAUUCUCAUAACAUAAUGUCUAAAUGUGCAGGAGACAAUCUAAAAUUACUCUGCAUGUGAAGGACCAGGAAAUCCAACCUGCAAGAGAAAAGACAAUCAACAGCCACCAAUGCCAAGAUGACCCAAAAACCCUCAACUAAUUAUCAGCAAAUAGAAUCAAGCAGCACUAAAAACACACACACGCAAGACUGGUUCAACAUGUGAAAAUAAAUCAAUGUGAUCCACCAGAUUAGUCUCAAGAAGAAAACCAUGUGAUCAUCUCAAUCAAUUCAAAGAAAGUAUUUGACGGAAUUCAAUACUCAUCCCUGAUAAACACUCUCAGCAAACUAGAAAGCAAAGGGAACAUGCCUAAUCUCAUAAAGGGAAUCUACAAACAGCAGCAACAAAAACAACAGGCCAGGCAUGGUGGCUCACCCCUGUAAUCUCAACACUUUGGGAGGCCAGGAGUUCAAGACCAGCCUGGGCAAUAUGGUGAAACCCCGUCUCUACUAAAAUCACACACACAAAAAAAUUAGCCGGGCAUGGCGGCCCAUGCCUGUAGUCCCAGCUACUCGGGAGGCUGAGGCAAGAGAAUCCUUUGAACCCGGGAGGUAGAGGUUGCAGUGAGCCAAGAUCGCGCCACUGCACUCCAGCUUGGGGGACAAGAGCAAGGACUCCGUCUCGGCCGGGCACGGUGGCUCACGCCUGUAAUCCCAGCACUUUAGGAGGCCGAGGUAGGCGGAUCACAAGGUCAGGAGAUCGAGACAACCCUGGCUAACAUGGUGAAACCCCGUCUCUACUAAAAAAUACAAAAAAAAAAAAAUUAGCCGGGCGUGUUGGCGGGCGCCUGUAGUCCCAGCUACUCAGGAGGCUGAGGCAGGAGAAUGGCGUGAACCUGGGAGACAGAGCUUGCAGUGAGUCGAGAUCACGCCACUGCACUCCAGCCUGGGCGACUGAGCAAGACUCUGUCUCAAAAAAAGACUCCGUCUCAAAAAAAGACUCCGUCUCAAAAAAAAAACAAAAAAAGAGCCCAGAGUUUCAGCAGUGGGUUGCACUUUCCUUGCGUUGGUGUCUCUUUGCAAAGCUGGUUUCACAGCAGUUGCUGUGAUCAAAAGCAAAUACUAGGCAAAAAUUAAUGUGGAUCAGAAAAUCCAGGUGAUGUCCAACCUAAUUAAGGUUUGCAAAAAUGUGCAGACCCCAACAGACCCAGACAUGCUGUAAGUAAUUCCAAUUAUUUUAAUAAUUAAGUUAAGGUUUUUUUUUUCAAUUUAUAUGACUUCUGUUUCCCCAAAACUGCUACUAAGUUGUUAGGACAUAAAUACUUAAGACAUUUGGCCCUAACGAACAGAACUGUUGGGUUUUUCUUUUGACCAAGGGGUGCUGUAAAGAAAUCACUGGGACACUAAGAUUAGGAUAAUGCCAGCUGCUGUCACACAGACCCCAAGAAGUGACUGCAGGGAGGGGCUGACAGUGGCUGCCACAUUCCACUAGUUCCUGAACACUCCAGGAUCUUCGAGGGCUGCAGUUUCUCCAUUACAUGCAGGACAGGAGCCGCCUGCCCACCUGGCCCAUGUGUACAAGGGUGACGCCAGGCAGGGCCACUCAGUAGAAGGCCCCAUCCACAAAGGGCACCAAUGAGGCCGUCCUCGGAGGAGACCCUGGCCCACGUGCGUUGUGCUCUCAGCUAAGACCCCUCGUCCACGGGCCCAGGGUGCUGGCUUUACUUCCCAGGACGGGCCUGCCGGUCCCUCUCCUUCGGGUAAGUGUUAGGGUGUCCGCCCUCCUGGGGCUGGCUUCUCCCAAAGUCUCUUCCUGCUGGUGCAGUCCUGGGGCCCAGGCUUUCUGCAGCCAGGCUCAGAUCUCUUUAGCAACUUGAUUCUAUCAAAAACCAGCAGUGGGGCUGGGCACAGUGGCUCACGCCCAUAAUCCCAGCACUUUGGGAGACCGAGCAGGCAGAUCACGAGGUCAGGAGAUUGAGACCAGCCUGGCUAACACGGUGAAAUACAGUCUCUAUUAAAAAUACAAAAAAUUAGCCGGGCAUGGUGGCAUGUGUCUGUAGUCCCAGCUACUCAAGAGGCUGAGGCAGGAGAAUUCUUUGAACCCAGGAGGCAGAGCUUGAAGUGAGCCGAGAUUGCGCCACUGCACUCCAUCCUGGGCGACAGAGCAAGACUCUGUCUCAAAAAAAAAAAAAAAAGUAGGCAUCUCCUCAGUGCCCGGCAGCCGCUCACCUAGCCGCCCACCUAGCAGUUCUGCCCCUCACUGUCAAUGACCACGCCCUAGGAGGAUGUUCACAGCAAGGUCCUGGCCCUUCGGUUAAUGGAGAGAUGUUAAAUUAAUAGGACUUUGUGGCUAAACGGCUCUUGAACUUCCUGUACUCUGGGGUCAUGAGCAGCAGGUUUUUCCCACAGGCAAGGCCCCGAACUCCCUCCCUCUCUACUGCCCUUUGUUUCUGCUCUCACACUGGCAAGGCCUUGCUCCAGCCCAUCUCCCAGGGGUGACAUGGAGCCAGGUGCAUAUGGCCCUUGCCAGUAACAUCCAGGCCUUUUCCUCCCUCUUCCCUGAAACUACAGGGCUGGCAGUGGUGUGUCUGCUUUCCAAGUCACUGGAGCACACUCUGAUCACAAUGCCGGCUUCAUGCCGGGGCCCCACCAGGCUGGCGACCCCUCCAGCCAGGCACCCCCGCCAGCCCAGAGCUCCUCCACCCCAGCGCCCCACCAGCCCAGUGCCCCCUCCAACACCCCAACCUGCCCAGCGCCCCCACCAGCCCAGGGCUCCGCCCGCCCAACAUCCCCCACCAGCCUGGCACCCCCGCCAGCUGGGUGUCCUCUCCAGCCUGGCGCCCCCACCAGCCCAGCGCCCCCUCCGGCCCAGUGCCUCCCCGAGCCUGGUGCCCCCCACCAGCGUGACAAGCCAUGGGUCCCCCACUUCAAGGCCCACAUUUUUUUAUUAGCUGAGGUCGUGGUAGCUGUUGUACCACUGCACUAAGUGCAUCUUUUUCUGUAGUUUUGAUGCUGACAUCUUGCCCAUUCCUCUGCCCCGACAACCCAGCUGCGUGGAGCAGCCCCCACUCUCUGUGAAUAAAAGAACUUUCUUCCUACAA